UACGGAGGUCCCGAGCGUUGUUCGGAAUUACUGGGCGUAAAGGGAGCGCAGGCGGACAGGUCAGUCUGAAGUGGAAAUCCGGGGCUCAACCUCGGACUUGCUUCGGAUACUGCUUGUCUUGAGUUCGUGAGAGGAAGAUGGAAUUCAGGGUGUAGCGGUGAAAUGCUCAGAUAUCCUGAGGAACACCGGUGGCGAAAGCGGUCUUCUGGCACGAAACUGACGCUGAGGCUCGAAAGCGUGGGGAGCAAACAGG
rnacentral:rRNA from 1 species